rnacentral:rRNA from 1 species
UACAGAGGCCUCAAGCGUUGUUCGGAUUCAUUGGGCGUAAAGGGUGCGUAGGCGGCGCGGUAAGUCGGGUGUGAAAUCUCGGAGCUUAACUCCGAAACUGCAUUCGAUACUGCCGUGCUUGAGGACUGGAGAGGAGACUGGAAUUUACGGUGUAGCGGUGAAAUGCGUAGAUAUCGUAAGGAAGACCAGUGGCGAAGGCGGGUCUCUGGACAGUUCCUGACGCUGAGGCACGAAGGUCAGGGGGAGCAAAACGGGG